UGCGUAGGGGGCGAGCGUUGUCCGGAUUUAUUGGGCGUAAAGAGCGUGUGAGCGGCCAGGUAGGUCUGCUGUGAAAACUCGAGGCUCAACCUCGAGACGUCGGCGGAAACCAUCUGGCUAGAGUCCGGAAGAGGAGAGUGGAAUUCCUGGUGUAGCGGUGAAAUGCGCAGAUAUCAGGAGGAACACCGAUGGCGAAGGCAGGUCUCUGGGCCACUACUGACGCUGAGAAGCGAAAGCAUGGGGAGCGAACAGG
rnacentral:rRNA from 1 species